rnacentral:tRNA from 4 species
GGGCUGGUAGCGCAGUCUGGUAGCGCGCUACCUUGGCAUGGUAGCGGCCGGGGGUUCAAAUCCCCUCCAGUCCA